GACGAACGCUGGCGGCGUGCUUAACACAUGCAAGUCGAACGGAAGGACCCUGCGUUUGUUUGUUUCUCGAUUGGCGAGCAGGUGAGUAACACAUGAGUAACCUGCCCUUAACUUUCUGAGAACUUCAGGGAACUGGGGCUAAUACCGCGUAUAAUCUCCUGCUGCAUGUUGGUGGUUAGAAAGUUUCGGCGGUGGUGGAUGGACUCGAUGGUUAUCAGCUUGUUGGUGGGGUAGUGGCUUACCAAGGCUUUGACGGGUAGCCGGCCUGAGAGGGUGAACGGCGACCAGGGGACUGAGAUACGGAGCAGAAUCCUACGGGCGGCAGUAGUGGGGAACAUUGCAGAACGAGGGGACGUGUGAUGUAGAAGUGUUGGGUGCGGGAUGCUGGGUUUCGGGUUGUAAACAGAUUUCGAAUGUGCCGAAGAGUGCGUGACGGUAAUGGGUCAAGAAGCAACGGCUAACUACGUG
rnacentral:rRNA from 1 species